rnacentral:lncRNA from 1 species
ACAGGAUGGAACCUAUAUCUUCUGAUUUCUCUACUGACCUGCACUCCACAUUCUGAGGAGGAGUCCUUGAAGCUACUGAGAUAAUGGAACAAUGGAGUAGAUAGUCCAUUAUAACUAUCUGGGAUUCUUCUCAACUUCAAGUGACCACAGUAAACCUUUAUAGUGAAAAUGAAGAAAUGGAAGUACUAGAAUCAAAUCCAAACUGCUCAGGGAGCUGACAUCCAGGUAGGUAUCCUGGUUAAUUUUUAUUGUCAAUUUGACACAAACUAGAAUCCUGGGAUGAGGGUACCUCAGUUAUCUCAGUUGAAGAAUCGCCUCAGUCAGAUUAGCCUGUGUCUGUGAG